AUGGAAUGCUGUGGAGGAGUGGGAACAGAGCAGUGCUAACUGUACUUCUCCUGCCCACCACACACACCCAGUAGAAAUUACAUGGUCUGCUUUUCUGCCUUCAUUUUCAAACCAUUAAAUGGCAGAGGAAAAUAUGUUCUGGGAGUCAGAAGUACAGCUGGAGAGGAGGGUUUCACAGGGAAACUGCCACUUCAGUUUUGCAGCCGGACUCUCACCUCCAGAGCAAGAAUCACCCAAGAUAUAGCACAUAAGGCAGUGAUGGUGGAGUGUUAACUCAGACUUUCAACUCCCAGGACACACCACAGUUAUUGUUUAUGCUAUGAAUUUGUACCUUCAUUGAAGAACAUUUUGGAGCACGACUGCAAGUCAGCAAGAUUAAGGUAAAUUCCACUUUUUAUGUUCUUACAGCAGGAGAUCCAACAGCUUGGAUUUUAGGUUAAGAUAAGGUUAAGCCCAAAUAGGAAUUUGUGAACUUACCUUGCUUUCCCUCUGUAUAUGUUAGAUUUGGCACAUGUUCUCUUAUCAGAAAAAAAAAGGCAGUAGAGAUUGUGAAGUCCCACUGCUCAGAUGAAACUUGAAAAUGAAGUUUUCAAACUCAAAAUGAAGGCAUUGAUCCACGUCUUAUCCAGUAUUUUUGGAGCUUCUGUUGUUAAGAUUCUUGCAAAAGGUUAGAGUGACAUGAAGUGGUAGAACUUGAAUAGUACAUGCAUUACAAUCAAUAGAUAUAAGGCUGUUUUCCAAGGAUUUGUACUUUUUAAGAUUGGAAGGAGGUGCCAAAUUCUAGAAUACAGGGAGGUGUCCUGAGGAUGAUCUCUUACGAUUUUGGGUGUUUUGAAAGAAACAUUCUCAAGGGUUGAGGAAUAAAUAGAAAUGGCUUAAAGCUGUGUACUGUUUA
rnacentral:lncRNA from 1 species